UACAGAGGGGGCAAGCGUUGUUCGGAAUUACUGGGCGUAAAGGGCGCGUAGGCGGCCUCUUAAGUCGAACGUGAAAUCCCCGGGCUCAACCCGGGAACUGCGUCCGAUACUGGGAGGCUUGAAUCCGGGAGAGGGAUGUGGAAUUCCUAGUGUAGUGGUGAAAUGCGUAGAUAUCGGGAGGAACACCAGUGGCGAAGGCGACUACCUGGCCUGUUCUUGACGCUGAGGCGCGAAAGCUAGGGGAGCAAACGGG
rnacentral:rRNA from 1 species